rnacentral:Y_RNA from 1 species
GGCUGGUCUGAGUGUGGUGGUGUUUACAACUAAUUGAUCACAACAAUUAUAUAUUUCGUUGUUCCCUUUCUAUUCCCACUGCUUCACGUGACUAGCCUUAA